GACGAACGCUGGCGGCGUGCUUAACACAUGCAAGUCGAACGGAAAGGCCCUGCUUGCAGGGUACUCGAGUGGCGAACGGGUGAGUAACACGUGGGUGAUCUGCCCUGCACUUCGGGAUAAGCCUGGGAGACUGGGUCUAAUACCGGAUAGGAGCCAUUUUUAGUGUGAUGGUUGGAAAGUUUUUUCGGUGUAGGAUGAGCUCGCGGCCUAUCAGCUUGUUGGUGGGGUAAUGGCCUACCAAGGCGGCGACGGGUAGCCGGCCUGAGAGGGUGGACGGCCACAUUGGGACUGAGAUACGGCCCAGACUCCUACGGGAGGCAGCAGUGGGGAAUAUUGCACAAUGGGCGCAAGCCUGAUGCAGCGACGCCGCGUGGGGGAUGAUGGCCUUCGGGUUGUAAACUCCUUUCGCUAGGGACGAAGCUUUUUGUGACGGUACCUAGAUAAGAAGCACCGGCUAACUACGUG
rnacentral:rRNA from 1 species